UACGGGGGGGGGCAAGCGUUGUUCGGAAUUACUGGGCGUAAAGGGCGCGUAGGCGGGAUGGCAAGUCGGUCGUGAAAUCCCUCGGCUCAACCGAGGAACGUCGAUCGAUACUGCUGUUCUUGAGGAUUGCAGAGGAGACUGGAAUUCCCGGUGUAGCGGUGAAAUGUGUAGAGAUCGGGAGGAACACCGGUGGCGAAGGCGGGGUCUCUGGGCAAUUGCCUGACGCUGAGGCGCGAAAAGCGUGGGGAGCAAACGGG
rnacentral:rRNA from 1 species